rnacentral:misc_RNA from 1 species
GGAAGUAAAGUCGUAACAAGGUUUCCGUAGGUGAACCUGCGGAAGGAUCAUUCAUAAUAAAGUGUUUUAUGGCACUUUUUAAAAAUCCAUAUCCACCUUGUGUGCAAUGUUAGAUCUCGUCAAUCUUGGCGAGAUUUUUAUACAUCAACUCAUUCUUUAACUAAUUUGUCUGAAAAAUAUAAUGAAUACUUAAUUCAAAAUACAACUUUCAACAACGGAUCUCUUGGCUCUC